rfam:Ictidomys tridecemlineatus contig028032, whole genome shotgun sequence.
GGGGAUAUAGCUCAGUUGGUAGAGUGCUUGCCUUGCAUGCAGAAGGCCCUGGGUUCAAUCCCCAGCAUGGCUA